rnacentral:lncRNA from 1 species
AUUAUUCAUAAAUAUAAAUAGACCUUUCUACACCUUAUUUUCAACCGUAAAAUCAUUUCACCAGUUUCUCUGCACGAAUACCGAGAGAAACCGAAAUGUGUUCUUCGUGUUCUUCGUAAUCAAACGAGGAUUUGGAGGCGUUAUUGGAAUCCGAUGGAGGUGUAUGAAUAGUCAAAACGAAGCUAGCGACGUGUAGAAUCCAGUUUAAUCAAUCAUAACCAUGCAGAUUUCACGGGUAAUUUCUUAUUAAUUUUUGAAAAUUCGAAUUAUUAUAAUUUUAAAGAUGAAUUUUUGUAAACGUUCUUGUUUGAUUGUUUUGAUGCUUCUAUGUUGUAGAACGUGUUUUUCUCGUCGUUUCGGUAUAUUAUAUGUCGAAUUUGGACUUCAGAAACACAUAGAAACAUGAGAUUGAUCUUUGAAAUAACUGUUCUUCAUGUUCUUGAGUGUUCUUGAACAUUUUCAAUUGAAAAUUGGGGGCUUACAAAUCGUUGAUUCUGGGCAAAAUCAGAGGUUACCACUGUGUUUGUAUGGUUGUGAGGAGCGUUCGUAUGUGAUCACUGAGGGUGGAGGAGUUUGUUUUCGAGUUGAUCGGAAGUUAUAAGGUUCGCCGGAGACGAACCUUUGACUUGGUUUUCCGGCCGAUUUAUGGAUCUUCGGUCUAAUUGGUUAGUAUAUUCGAGUUCCUGGUGGUGUAGUGUUGCUGUGGUGUGAAUUUGGGUGUGUUCUGGGCAGAGGGAGUCACCGCCGGCGAGCUCCAAGGCGGCAGCCAUGGCUGCCGGCGGCAACUGGGAGAGAUGGUGGUGAAAUUUCAAUUUCAUCACCCAUCUACUGCAGUUUUACAAAUAAACCCCCAAAGUUUCUGGUUUUGCAAAUCAAACCCUGCUAGAAGUUUCCAAAACUAGCAGAUUAAACCCUUUAUUUUUAAAUCUUUUAAACAUUGUUUUUAUACUUAUUUUCUUUAAUUUCAAAAAGAGUUUUAAUUAUUUAUUCAUUCAAAAAUAAAUCUAAAUUAGUUUAUUAAUUAAUUUUAAUUUGUAAUUAAUUAUUUUAAUUAAUCAAUUAAUUUAAAUAUUAAUUGAUUAAUUGAUUUGAUUAAUUAUUAAUUGAUUUUAAUUGAUUAAUUAAUUGGAUUUAAUUAUCUUUUUUUGAUUUAAAAAUUCUGAAAAAUAGUUUCGAGCUUUGAUAUAUUUUUCUAAAUUAUGUUCAAGGCUCGAUUAUUGUUUAUGAAGGAUUUCAAGUCCAAUUUUGAGUAUCCGGACUUGAUUACCUAUUUAUAAAAUGAUUCUUUUAUCGAUUUUAAUUCCGAAAAAUGUUUAAAAAUUCUGGAAAAUUUCCGAAAAAUCAUUUUUAACCCAAGACUUGAUUUGACAUCAAUUGGGAUGGGAGAUUUAAUGUGUAAUGUGUUGUCUGCUAUCGGUGUAAGGUAUUAUAUGUUGAGAGCGGAGUCAGAAAACGGUUUUGAACAUAUCUUUUGAUCUGUAAGUCGGAAUCAAGUGAAACGAAAGAGAGAUGAAAGCUCAUGGAGUCUAUUUUAAUAUGGCAAGAUAAUAUGAUUGAACCUAGAAUAUGAUUAUGUGUUGUUAAGUUUACAGAAUGUGAUUAAAUGUGAAUUAUUUGCUAUAAGUUGAUGAUUACGUGAUAUACGUGCUUGUUCAUGAUAAACGAUUUGUAUGACUGGUAUUGGAUAAAAAUAUAGGGAUGACAAGGAUAAGAAUUGAUUGAAUUGGUUGUUGGUUGGGAAUAGGUUGACAGGUGGAUAGCCUUAUAAAUAGACGAGGUGCUGUCAGAUUUUCAAUAUGAUUAUUGAUUUGUGAUAUGUUAUGUGGAAUAUGAUUUGACUAUAUGAUAAGGUUAAAGAAUGAUCAUGUGCUAAGUGAUAUGUGAUAAGUUUAAAGAGAUAUACAAGUAGGUAUCGGUAUACGUGAUAUGUAUAUGCGAUAUAUUAUUUAGUGACUAUAGUAUUAUCUCAUUCUCGUUAAGGAUUUGGACGAAACGUGGAUGACCGAAGACGUCAGAAAGUCGGAAGGGUAUUGCAAAGCGAAUAAGGGAUGAAUCGAGUAAGCGAAGCGAUGUGGCGAAUAGAGUAUAGCUAGAGAUGGUCUAGAGAUUACGAGAUGCAUAGAUUGUGAAAGUUGAAAGAUGAGAUAGAGAUGUGAGAUUGGAGUCAGAUUUAAGGCAAGUAUCCUACACCCUGCUUUUUGAUAUCUUGCAAAUAUUCUGAUCCACUCUUUUAAUAUCUGUUGCAAUUGUUCUGAACUUCUGAUUAAUGCGAUUAUCCUCAUCCAUUCUUUCUAAUCCUCAAGCUUCAAAGAAUUUCCGUUUUAUAAAUCAAUUCGAAGUUCAAAUUGUCAUUGAAGCAUGUGUUGCUCAGUGAUAGUUAGAACCUAGAAUGACUUGGGAUCUUCUUGACUAUUCAACCCACCAUUGUCAUGCUAGUUUAGCAGGCUAAAUUCAGUUGCUUAGCCGAUAAUGGAGGAUACUGAAUAGUUAGGGAUUUCCUGAACUAUGUUUUAUGAAAGAAUGGGCUGUGAUUUAUGAAAAGAUGAUUAUCAAAGUUUGAUUUGGAAUUACCCUGUUAUUGAUGAUGUUUAUGACUAUAUUCCAUUGACUUACAUUGACUUUUUGAAUUGAAUUAGAGAAUUGGAUUAUUGUUUUUAUAUAAACCUGUGGACCAGAUGAGUGGUCAUGUUAGGCCAAUGAGUGCCUUGGAUCCAGUGAUAGAGCAUGGCGGGGCCUGCUCGGGGUUAGUGCGGAACUGAUCAGCUGCCUAACCUUGGUUUUAAUUAAAAUGUGAUAGUCCAAUUCAAUAAUUCUUUUGGAAGAAUUGAGUUCCUCAAUUUCCAUUGCUGCAAGGUAUUGUGAAUCCUUCUAUACAAUACCCUGAUCUUGUGAUCUCAUAUUGAAUCUGUUGAUGAAGUAGUUUGAGCUUGUGAACCCCUUUUAUAUUGUUCAGAAUUUCAUUGUUAUUAUUACUUGCUGAGCAUUGUUGCUCACGCUUGCUAUUCUCUUUUAACCAUUUCAGAAAGGAUUAAAGAUGAAUGGCUAGACUACAAUUGCGGGUAAGGCUAAGGCUAGGCGAGGAGUCAGAGGUGUUAAGGAUCCAGUGGUCGAGGAGUGUCCAGGAAGAUUGAUAAGGUUGAUGCUAGCUAGAGUUGAGCUACUGAGAUUCAGAUGUAAGUCGUGGCUGGAGUAGGUUGACAGUGAUUCUUCUUAUCGAAGAUGAUCUGAUUUGGUAAGAGUUGUUGUGUAAUAAUAGUGGUAGAUUCUAAUUUCAAUACUGUAACCUGGAUGCGAUCCUGUUGCUUUUAGGGGGUUUAAAUGUUCUCUUUCGAAUCAUUUAUUAAAGUUUAAAUGUUCUCUUGAAAUUCUCUUAUUAUGGCUUUCAAGU